UAACCGAAGAAACAUGCUGCUAAAUACAUAUUAAAAAAAUAUCUAAGAAAUAUAAUUAACAAAUUUUUUACCAAAUUGUGGCUUACCCUGUUCACAUAUUACCAUUUUCUUUUCAUAUCUGGUAACGUCUCAACGACGGCGACUAUAGUAAUGACAUCCAAUGAUGGUGAAGAAGAAGAAACGAAAAAAACUCAAACAGAUAAAAAGGCGCGACAUCUCUAGAUUGUAGAAUCGAGGUGGGUGUAAACACGACAUAAUAAAAGAGAAUCAAAGGAAAAUAUUAUCAAUUCAAGUACAGAGAAAACGAGUAAAGACAGAGAUUGACGGUGGUAAGUUGAUUUUAGCCUCAUAUAUUUCCGUAUGUUGUAUGUGUAUUGUAUUUCAUGUUAGAAUUGACUUGCCUUGAACCUUUAGAAGUUAUGUUUGGGCGGACCAAUAUAUUCCACCUGUAUUCAUAUUUAUUGUCUUGCUAUUUUAUUUUGAUUUCCUGUGUAGAAAGUUGAUAACUGGAAUAAAUGAUACAAAUGGUAUCAGAAUGGUAUUAUUAUAGUUUUGUGGUAUUGAUGAGACAAUGGUAUUAGAUUACUAUAGUAUGGAAAUGAUUGACAAAUAUUAUAGAAAAUUAAAUAUUUGAAAAAUGAGUUUAGAAAUGAUGCUUCCUAACAGCAUAUGUGAUUCAUCUGAUGGUGGCAGCUUAAAGAUAAAUGGCAUGUGUGCACCGUAUCUUGGAUCCCACUGACAUUUCUGAAACGGAUAUGGAAGUCGCAUACGCAUAAAAUGGGAUUAAUUUGUUUUACUAUUCCAUAUACAAAUUAUUUUUCUAUUCUAUAUAGAUAUAUAGAAUAGAUAUGUAGCAUGAUGUGUUUGUUGUUACUCCACUUGUAAUUACAUUAGCAUUUAGUUAACCACACCCAUACAAGUGUAAACUUCACACAAAUUUAUAUUAUUUUAUUUAUAAUGAUUAUAUUUUACUGUUAAAUGUCGAUUAUCAAUGAAUGAUAUAUAUUGUAUAGUUUAAUAUUACAUAAUAUUAUAUACUAUUUUCAAGAUUUUGAUAUUUGGGUUUAGGGUUUAUAUUUGUGUUUAAUGUUUAGUGAUUAUAGUUUAUGGUUUAGUAUUUAGAAGGUGGGAAGUGAGGUUAGGGUUAUCACUAACUUUUUCCAUGCAAUCAUAGAAAUUUCAUAAUUCCAAUCAUAUGUACUAUGCUAUUUAUUUCGUUCUAUUCUAUUUGGGUUUAUGGUUUAUGUUUGGAUUUAGAAUUUAUAUUUCGGUUUAGGGUUUAGUGAUCAUGGUUUAGGUUUAGAGACCAUGGUUUUGGGUUUAGUAUGUAGGGGGAGGUGGUGUUGUGAUAGAAAUUAUAUUUAGAUUAAGAUUUUUGUUAGUUUCAUAAUUGUUUGGUAAUUUGAUUAGCUUGUACUAUACUAUAUAUUAUUAUAUGUUUUAAUUCAUUAGUGUUUUAGAUUGUAUGCAAUGUUCCAGUUCAUCGAUUUUGUAUAAUAUAUGUUUGUUCUAACACUAACAUAAUUUCCAUACUAUUUUACACUAACAUAAGUUGCAUACUAUAUGAAUAAGUAUGUGGUAAAUAAAUAUCUGACGUGGACUCCAUAUAAAAUUGUAAAUAAUUGUGUUUUAUUUCUGUCCGUAAAAAUAAUUGACAAUGUCAUUCACACUUUUCCUUUUUCACUGGAUAACUGCCACAUAGAAGGGUAUAACCGGUUUAAAAGUGAACCAAAUAUUAGUCACUUAAUAACGUCAAAAU
rnacentral:lncRNA from 1 species